rnacentral:rRNA from 1 species
GAGCACUGUUUCGGCAAGGGGGUCAUCCCGACUUACCAACCCGAUGCAAACUGCGAAUACCGGAGAAUGUUAUCACGGGAGACACACGGCGGGUGCUAACGUCCGUCGUGAAGAGGGAAACAACCCAGACCGCCAGCUAAGGUCCCAAAGUCAUGGUUAAGUGGGAAACGAUGUGGGAAGGCCCAGACAGCCAGGAUGUUGGCUUAGAAGCAGCCAUCAUUUAAAGAAAGCGUAAUAGCUCACUGGUCGAGUCGGCCUGCGCGGAAGAUGUAACGGGGCUAAACCAUGCACCGAAGCUGCGGCAGCGAUGCUUAUGCGUUGUUGGGUAGGGGAGCGUUCUGUAAGCCUGCGAAGGUGUGCUGUGAGGCAUGCUGGAGGUAUCAGAAGUGCGAAUGCUGACAUAAGUAACGAUAAAGCGGGUGAAAAGCCCGCUCGCCGGAAGACCAAGGGUUCCUGUCCAACGUUAAUCGGGGCAGGGUGAGUCGACCCCUAAGGCGAGGCCGAAAGGCGUAGUCGAUGGGAAACAGGUUAAUAUUCCUGUACUUGGUGUUACUGCGAAGGGGGGACGGAGAAGGCUAUGUUGGCCGGGCGACGGUUGUCCCGGUUUAAGCGUGUAGGCUGGUUUUCCAGGCAAAUCCGGAAAAUCAAGGCUGAGGCGUGAUGACGAGGCACUACGGUGCUGAAGCAACAAAUGCCCUGCUUCCAGGAAAAGCCUCUAAGCAUCAGGUAACAUCAAAUCGUACCCCAAACCGACACAGGUGGUCAGGUAGAGAAUACCAAGGCGCUUGAGAGAACUCGGGUGAAGGAACUAGGCAAAAUGGUGCCGUAACUUCGGGAGAAGGCACGCUGAUAUGUAGGUGAAGUCCCUUGCGGAUGGAGCUGAAAUCAGUCGAAGAUACCAGCUGGCUGCAACUGUUUAUUAAAAACACAGCACUGUGCAAACACGAAAGUGGACGUAUACGGUGUGACGCCUGCCCGGUGCCGGAAGGUUAAUUGAUGGGGUCAGCGCAAGCGAAGCUCUUGAUCGAAGCCCCGGUAAACGGCGGCCGUAACUAUAACGGUCCUAAGGUAGCGAAAUUCCUUGUCGGGUAAGUUCCGACCUGCACGAAUGGCGUAAUGAUGGCCAGGCUGUCUCCACCCGAGACUCAGUGAAAUUGAACUCGCUGUGAAGAUGCAGUGUACCCGCGGCAAGACGGAAAGACCCCGUGAACCUUUACUAUAGCUUGACACUGAACAUUGAGCCUUGAUGUGUAGGAUAGGUGGGAGGCUUUGAAGUGUGGACGCCAGUCUGCAUGGAGCCGGCCUUGAAAUACCACCCUUUAAUGUUUGAUGUUCUAACGUGGACCCGUGAUCCGGGUUGCGGACAGUGUCUGGUGGGUAGUUUGACUGGGGCGGUCUCCUCCUAAAGAGUAACGGAGGAGCACGAAGGUUGGCUAAUCCUGGUCGGACAUCAGGAGGUUAGUGCAAUGGCAUAAGCCAGCUUGACUGCGAGCGUGACGGCGCGAGCAGGUGCGAAAGCAGGUCAUAGUGAUCCGGUGGUUCUGAAUGGAAGGGCCAUCGCUCAACGGAUAAAAGGUACUCCGGGGAUAACAGGCUGAUACCGCCCAAGAGUUCAUAUCGACGGCGGUGUUUGGCACCUCGAUGUCGGCUCAUCACAUCCUGGGGCUGAAGUAGGUCCCAAGGGUAUGGCUGUUCGCCAUUUAAAGUGGUACGCGAGCUGGGUUUAGAACGUCGUGAGACAGUUCGGUCCCUAUCUGCCGUGGGCGCUGGAGAACUGAGGGGGGCUGCUCCUAGUACGAGAGGACCGGAGUGGACGCAUCACUGGUGUUCGGGUUGUCAUGCCAAUGGCACUGCCCGGUAGCUAAAUGCGGAAGAGAUAAGUGCUGAAAGCAUCUAAGCACGAAACUUGCCCCGAGAUGAGUUCUCCCUGACCCUUUAAGGGUCCUGAAGGAACGUUGAAGACGACGACGUUGAUAGGCCGGGUGUGUAAGCGCAGCGAUGCGUUGAGCUAACCGGUACUAAUGAACCGUGAG